GGGGAAUCUUCCGCAAUGGGCGAAAGCCUGACGGAGCAACGCCGCGUGAGGGAUGAAGGCCUCUGGGCUGUAAACCCCUUUUAUCAAGGAAGAAGAUCUGACGGUACUUGAUGAAUAAGCCACGGCUAAUUCCGUGCCAGCAGCCGCGGUAAUACGGGAGUGGCAAGCGUUAUCCGGAAUUAUUGGGCGUAAAGCGUCCGCAGGCGGCCUUGAAAGUCUGUUGUUAAAACGUGGAGCUCAACUCCAUUUCGGCAAUGGAAACUACAAGGCUAGAGUGUGGUAGGGGCAGAGGGAAUUCCCGGUGUAGCGGUGAAAUGCGUAGAUAUCGGGAAGAACACCAGUGGCGAAGGCGCUCUGCUGGGCCAUAACUGACGCUCAUGGACGAAAGCCAGGGGAGCGAAAGGGAUUAGAUACCCCUGUAGUC
rnacentral:rRNA from 1 species